rnacentral:rRNA from 1 species
UACGGGGGGGGCAAGCGUUGUUCGGAAUUACUGGGCGUAAAGGGCUCGUAGGUGGCCAACUAAGUCAGACGUGAAAUCCCUCGGCUCAACUGAGGAACUGCCUUUGAAACUGUCUGGCUUGAGGCCGGGAGAGGGUAGCGGAAUUCCCAGUGUAGCGGUGAAAUUCGUAGAUAUUAGGAAGAACACCAGUGGCGAAGGCGGCUCACUGGCCCGGUACUGACGCUGAGGCGCGAAAGCGUGGGGAGCGAUCCGG